rnacentral:rRNA from 1 species
CUACGGGAGGCUCCAGUGGGGAAUAUUGCACAAUGGGCGCAAGCCUGAUGCAGCCAUGCCGCGUGUAUGAAGAAGGCCUUCGGGUUGUAAAGUACUUUCAGCGGGGAGGAAGGGAGUAAAGUUAAUACCUUUGCUCAUUGACGUUACCCGCAGAAGAAGCACCGGCUAACUCCGUGCCAGCAGCCGCGGUAAUACGGAGGGUGCAAGCGUUAAUCGGAAUUACUGGGCGUAAAGCGCACGCAGGCGGUUUGUUAAGUCAGAUGUGAAAGCCCCGGGCUCAACCUGGGAACUGCAUCUGAUACUGGCAAGCUUGAGUCUCGUAGAGGGGGGUAGAAUUCCAGGUGUAGCGGUGAAAUGCGUAGAGAUCUGGAGGAAUACCGGUGGCGAAGGCGGCCCCCUGGACGAAGACUGACGCUCAGGUGCGAAAGCGUGGGGAGCAAACAGGAUUAGAUACCCUCGUAGUC